AUUGAACGCUGGCGGCAGGCCUAACACAUGCAAGUCGAGCGGAUGAAGGGAGCUUGCUCCUGGAUUCAGCGGCGGACGGGUGGGUAAUGCCUAGGAAUCUGCCUGGUAGUGGGGGAUAACGUCCGGAAACGGGCGCUAAUACCGCAUACGUCCUGAGGGAGAAAGUGGGGGAUCUUCGGACCUCACGCUAUCAGAUGAGCCUAGGUCGGAUUAGCUAGUUGGUGGGUAAAGGCCUACCAAGGCGACGAUCCGUAACUGGUCUGAGAGGAUGAUCAGUCACACUGGAACUGAGACACGGUCCAGACUCCUACGGGAGGCAGCAGUGGGGAAUAUUGGACAAUGGGCGAAAGCCUGAUCCAGCCAUGCCGCGUGUGUGAAGAAGGUCUUCGGAUUGUAAAGCACUUUAAGUUGGGAGGAAGGGCAGUAAGUUAAUACCUUGCUGUUUUGACGUUACCAACAGAAUAAGCACCGGCUAACUUCGUG
rnacentral:rRNA from 1 species